AUACGUAGGGGGCGAGCGUUGUCCGGACUGAUUGGGCGUAAAGGGCGCGUAGGCGGCGCGGUAAGUCUGGAGUGAAAGUCCUGCUUUCAAGGUGGGAAUUGCUUUGGAUACUGCCGCGCUUGAGUGCAGGAGAGGUUAUCGGAAUUCCCGGUGUAGCGGUGAAAUGCGUAGAGAUCGGGAGGAACACCAGUGGCGAAGGCGGGUAACUGGACUGCAACUGACGCUGAGGCGCGAAAGUGUGGGGAGCAAACAGGAUUAGAUACCCUGGUAGUCCACACUGUAAACGAUGAAUGCUAGGUGUAAGAGGUAUCGACCCCUUUUGUGCCGGAGUCAACACAAUAAGCAUUCCGCCUGGGGAGUACGGCCGCAAGGUUGAAACUCAAAUGAAUUGACGGGG
rnacentral:rRNA from 1 species